ensembl:lncRNA
GGACUGGUGAACCCAGGUGAGUGACCCAGACCUAAUUAUGGGCUUGCCACCCGGAUAACCCCAGUCCACGCAUGGCCUCCUCUGAAGCUCCCUACCACCUGGCCAGGUCUCUGCUAUGUUGAGCUCCAUCUCUCAGUAGCAACCCACGUUGGGCACAGUCCUCUGUGUCUUAUGCAUUAACAAAUGUAACAUUCCUGACCAACAACCUUAUGAGGCAGACCGUUUUGUUACCAAUGCUGUCUUACGGAUGAAAGAUGGGAAGCACAGAGAGGGGCUUCUCAGUGGGGAAACGUCUUGUGCUGAACUCCUGGUUGGGCUGUCUCCCCGCCCCAGGCCUGAUGCUCUGCCUCUCAGAAAGAUGUCCACCUGUGCCCACCAUGUUCCACUUCCCAACCACGACUAGGCCAGGCUGUCCACCAAGCAGGAAGGGGCUGGCUGGAAUGUCCCUGGAAGGCAGACUGCAAGAUAGCAAGCACUGUGUUUGCUCAUCUGUCAUUGUAUCCCCGGCUUGGGGAUGGGUAGCCUUCAGCACUUGUCUACUGAAUGAAUGACCCUGGUGGCCUGAGGCUGCUCAUACUGGGCCCCCAAGUGUCCCUUGCAACCUUGAUCCGGGCUAACUGUGGGGGCCUGAACCCUUGGCAUGGUUUGCCAAGUGACAGAGGAGAAACACUUUAAGUUGGGGAGAGAGUUAUCAGCUGGGCAUCAGAGAGAGGUCACAGGGAGCCACUGGGUGGCCAGAGAUGGCAGGAAGCCUGGGGAGUGGGGAC